UGAGGAAUCUUGCGCAAUGGGGGAAACCCUGACGCAGCCAUGCCGCGUGGGUGAAGAAGGCCUUCGGGUCGUAAAGCCCUGUCAAAAGGGAAGAACCGCUUGAAACCCAAUAAGUUUCAGGCCUGACGGUACCUUUAAAGGAAGCACCGGCUAACUCCGUGCCAGCAGCCGCGGUAAUACGGAGGGUGCAAGCGUUGUUCGGAAUUACUGGGCGUAAAGGGUGUGCAGGCGGCUAGGUAAGUCCGAUGUGAAAUCCCUCGGCUCAACUGAGGACGUGCAUCGGAUACUGCUUAGCUUGAGUCUCGGAGAGGGGGGUGGAAUUCCCGGUGUAGAGGUGAAAUUCGUAGAUAUCGGGAGGAACACCAGUGGCGAAGGCGACCCCCUGGACGAUGACUGACGCUGAUACACGAAAGCGUGGGUAGCAAACAGGAUUAGAUACCCUGGUAGUCCACGCCGUAAACGGUGUCCAUUAGGUGUCGUGGGUAUUGACCCCCGCGGUGCCGCAGCUAACGCAUAAA
rnacentral:rRNA from 1 species